rnacentral:rRNA from 1 species
GAACGAGAAAGUGGAGCAAUCCAUGAGUACAGUGGCGUACGGGUGAGUAACACGUGACUAACCUACCCUCGAGUGGGGAAUAACCUCGGGAAACCGGGGCUAAUACCGCAUAACAUCUUCGGAUCAAAUGCGUAAGCAGCUUGAGGAGGGGGUCGCGGCCGAUUAGCUAGUUGGCGGGGUAAUGGCCCACCAAGGCAAUGAUCGGUAGCCGGCCUGAGAGGGCGCACGGCCACACUGGAACUGAAACACGGUCCAGACUCCUACGGGAGGCAGCAGUGGGGAAUUUUGCGCAAUGGGGGAAACCCUGACGCAGCAACGCCGCGUGGAGGAUGAAGCCCUUUGGGGCGUANACUCCUUUCGAUCGGGACGAUGAUGACGGUACCGGAAGAAGAAGCACCGGCUAACUCUGUG